CCUGGAUUAGGUUAAUGGUAGCAGAGCAUGAAGUAUAUAGGCAAAUGUUGUUGCAAUUAUCAGUUUAGCAAUAGCUUCAGAGAAUUCUUUCCUGGGUGUCUGGCUGCAGUCAUCACAGUUCGCAGCUGCACUGUCACCUGAAGUGGGAAGGGACACAAUUCGUCUUUGGUGAGGAACAUCCCAUUCUUCGAACUGGCGCUUAGUACCAACAGAACACCAUCCAUCAGUUCUGAAGCCCCUCUUUCAGAAGGUUUUGCAGUAUUUGGUGUUUUCGUUCAAGCUCUAACUCCUGAAGCUGAGUGAUUUUGAGACAGUUUCUGCCUUCAUUUUUUUAACCAAGUGUCUCGCUUUCAUGGGUGCAGAGAAAAGCUUGAAAACAUGACCUGGGUGGGGCCUAAAGACUCAACAUUCAAGAGAGAAAUAAAAAGAAACUCAAACACAUUAUUUUUAAAAAGCUCAUGAUUUUUUGGAGCCUGAGUCAUGAUUUUUGAAUGCUUGCAAUUGGCAAUAAUGAUAUUCUGCUCUGUCGGGUAGGCAUGUCCUUAGAGACUUUACCUGUGCCUGAGCUGCUUUUCACUUGGUAUUAAAGUUUGUAUACUA